rnacentral:rRNA from 1 species
UACGAAGGGGGCUAGCGUUGCUCGGAAUCACUGGGCGUAAAGCGCACGUAGGCGGAUCUUUAAGUCAGGGGUGAAAUCCCAAGGCUCAACCUUGGAACUGCCUUUGAUACUGGGGAUCUCGAGUCCGGAAGAGGUUGGUGGAACUCCGAGUGUAGAGGUGAAAUUCGCAGAUAUUCGCAAGAACACCAGUGGCGAAGGCGGCUCACUGGCCCGAUACUGACGCUGAGGCACGAAAGCGUGGGGAGCAAACAGGGA